rnacentral:ncRNA from 7 species
UAAGGCACGCGGUGAAUGC